rnacentral:tRNA from 1 species
GGGCGGUUAGCUCAGCUGAUUAGAGCGACUCGUUUACACCGAGUAGGUCGGGGGUUUGAGUCCCUCACCGCCCA